rnacentral:rRNA from 1 species
UACGUAGGUGACAAGCGUUGUCCGGAUUACUGGGCGUAAAGAGCGCGCAGGCGGUCGAUCAAGUCGAGUGUGAAAGCCCCCGGCUCAACCUGGAGGGGUCAUUCGAUACUGCCGUGACUAGAGUUCGGUAGAGGAGUGUGGAAUUCCUGGUGGAGCGGUGAAAUGCGCAGAGAUCAGGAGGAACACCCGUAGCGAAGGCGGCACUCUGGGCCGAUACUGACACUGAGGAGCGAAAGCGUGGGGAGCGAACAGG